GUCAGGACUGCAGUCCCGAGGAGAGCGGCUGGAGAGGGCUGUGCGCUCCUUGCUGAGGAUGCUGGAGGCGCACUCGGGCAGCCACCGCUCCCGCGCUCCUCCCUCUCUCCUACAUCCGUCGUCACGAUGCGAGCCCGCGGGGAGACUCGCCAACCUCCAGGUGAAUUGAAAGUCGUCUCCCCAGGAGGACAGAGAGGGUGCUGCAGUCCUGGCAUGCACUAAAACUGCAAGUCGGACAGAAACAGCCCAGUCGAGGAGCGGGGCUCGCGGGGCGCAGCGCCCAGCGCAGCAUUCCAGGGCCGCUGAAGGUAGCUGAGGCUCAAGCUUGCAAUCAGAUCUCCGCACUGGACCGGGACCCUGGGCAAGCUUGCCACCAAAAGACCCAUUUUCUCUUCUUGCGCAUUUCGCAGUCGUAGCUGGCCUGGGGAAUGCGAGCACGGUGGUGGCUUCCUUCGGGUCGACCAGAAGCAGCUGCCGGUGGGAGAGCUAGCAGAGAGGCACGGGGGCGGCAGCCUCGGCCCGAAGUUUUCUCCCUUCAACCCUGUGUUUGACAUCUUCUAUCCAUGAGCACAACUGUUUCCAGAGCAAGAAAUACUGACUAUGGGAGCACAAACUAUACUGGCAUGAAGAGAAUCGACACCUAACCCCAGAGCACAGACCCACACUCCUGUUCAAAGGCUGCCAAGUUCAGAUGCUGGGAGACUGUAUGAUGUCAAACUGUAAUCAGAGGAAGCCACCAACAAGCUGUGCUGCUGCAGUCAUGGGCUAAGAAUCCAUCGUAUUCCAUCUAUACCGCUGUCCACACUUACUGUCUGUAUUCCAGUCAAUAAACUGAUUUUUUUCUGGCCAUCUCCACUGUACAUUUUUAUUCUCAUUUUGUGGCAUAUUAUUAGAUCAUUUUCAGCAAUCUAUGGCUGAAUUUGUUCUUCAUGGGCAAAGAAUUUCUGUAGCAAAUAAUACAGAUUUGAUUCUUUUCUUGCUUUCUACCAUUUUUUCCUUCUUGAAAUUACUACCUCAAAUCAACCCCUGUCCUGAGGGCUUGGGUUAUAGGCAAGUGCUGCCAGGCCUGGCUCAGAUAUAAUUCUCACAGUCCCAUACUUUAUAGGAACUACUGGGCUAUUUUGUCGUCGUUGUUAUUUUCAAAUAAAAUACAGUUCCUAAGAUCUGUGCAGGAAGAUGGGAACAGCAGCUAAUGAAGGGCAAGUUUAAGGAUCACCAGUGUAGAUGGCACAAUAUGCAAAAAAUAUGCACGCAAUAUGGACACCUGUUUGUUUUAUUUUUCUUUCUUUUUUCACAUUUAAACCCAAUCGAAUGACAUUCUACUGGACUAGAUGGUUCCUGCCUGCCUGGAUGCAUUGUUUGAUCUUUAGUUUGCAACCAAAUCCAGCUUCAAAUUGCCCAAGCUGAAGAAACCAUGGCCUGCUAGGGACUGCCCAGUUUUCAGUUGCAGACAGCUCUGGGUUAGGGACGGGGGACGUGUGUCCUUAUCUUUCAGCCCUACGACCUCAUCUGUGCAGCCCUGUUUUAGGACCUUGGCCUCACAUCUGAGGUACAUGCCUCAGUCUCUCUGAGUUGAAUUUAAAAGGCUUUGUUUUCUUCGUGUCCUCCCUCCCCUGGCUCUUACACCAUCUCCACCUCUGCUUCCACCGGAUUUCCUGAGUGAGUGCUGAGGGGGAGGGAUUUGACUGAGACAUCAGGUUAGGGCUGAGUGUUCUCUGAUCUCCCAUAUGUAUAUUAUAGUCUAUGUGCAUAUUGUUGGAUGAAGGUCUCUGUAUUUUUCUGAUCCGCUGCAGAAGGUAGGUUCCGGAUAUAGGCUGAGCAAGGCACUGAUCUAUAAGUAUAGCCGAGUGUCCUUAAGAGUCAUUUGAUUGCUACAGUCCUUGAGUAGAACAGUAGUAUUUGGUUGUCCUCUAGGUCCCUGCACUCUUUAGUCUCAGGUUUUUGAUCACCUAAGCAGCCUUAAGUCAGACCAUGUAUUGGUUGCCUCCUCCCACAAGCUUUGUGCCAACAUUGCAUUGCGGGGCAUUGUCACCCUGGAGAUCAAAGAGUUUGUGGCUGGGUUGGUGUUUAGGUUCCUCUUUUGGUAACAUGCAGAGCAUCCUUCUGUACCAGAGAUGCUAAAAUAUAGGGGUAAAGGUUUUAUCUGUAGGUGCCAGUUUACCAUCUCUAUCUUUAAUGAGUUGUGUAGGUGUUGUCUUUAGCAAUGGGACUUGCGGAGAGCAACCAGCCUAGGUUGUUGGGAAGUUCCCAUGGGACCACUUUGGCUCCAAUUACAUGCAAAGCAAUCCUGGUACUAGAAGCUUCUUUGAGAGAUAAAAAUGUAUCCAGUUAGGGCCCUGUCUCCUCUCCUUCAUAUAUGUAUUUAUUUCACUAAGCUUCUGCUGGAUUAGGUUUCUAUGCUACCCCUAAAUGACCCUUAAUAUUAGCUGUCUCUCCCCACGUGACCUCCAUCCUCCCAUACUCCUCUUCCUCUCCCCACUUGAUCAUCCUGUUCGUCUCUCAUCCAUCCUUAACUAUUUAUUUCUCUUCUCUAACUAUUAUUAGAAAACUAUAAUUAUAAUUAAAUAAUAAGUAAUUCAUUUCCCUUUCCUAAUGAGAUCGUGUCCCACCCCUAGCCCCUGAGUCCCUUACUUUCUACCUAGCCUCUGUGCUUGUUUGGAUUAUAGCUCAUUUACCAUGGAUCUAACAGUUAAGAACAAGUAAGCAAACACAUAUCAUAUCCACCUUUCUGCUCUGGGUUACCUCACUCGGGAUGGU
rnacentral:sRNA from 1 species